rnacentral:rRNA from 1 species
ACGCUCGACACCUACGUGAGGCAGCAGUGAGGAAUAUUGGUCAAUGGGCGCUAGCCUGAACCAGCCAAGUAGCGUGAAGGAUGAAGGCUCUAUGGGUCGUAAACUUCUUUUAUAUAAGAAUAAAGUGCAGUAUGUAUACUGUUUUGUAUGUAUUAUAUGAAUAAGGAUCGGCUAACUCCGUGCCUAGCAGCCGACGGUAAUCUGAGCGGGCUGGCAAGGC